GUUUUUUUUUUUUUUUUCAUAUAUAAAUUUCAAAAUGGGCAGAAUUUCUAACAGUUUGACAUUUCUUAAAAUUACAAUAAGUAUGCAGUUUCCAACUGUCUCUAAAUUGAAUAUAUUAAGAAUGUUAAACUCAUUGUUUCUGGACUCUUCUAGCAUGCAGACUAUACCAAAAGAUUUGUGCCUAUUAAGCUUUCUUUAAACUAUCCCUUUUUUUUUUUUUUUAAAAACCCUGUAUUGUGUUUUAUCUACUUAGAAUACUUGAGAUCCACUGUUUUCAGACUCCUUACUCAUCUGUAUUGUUAUUGUGUAAAAGAACAUUUCUGUCUGGUCUCUGAUCAGUGCCAAUGAGCUUGUAUAUAGUUAGGUCAUGCUUGUAUGUUAAUGUCGGAAUGGCACAUUUCUUUCCGAGCAUAUUUAAUUUUGUAAAUAUUACCAUGUAGAAAUCAACAUGAAAAAAGUAUUGCAAUUCUGGUAUGUCAAGGGCAAUUUCAAUACUUGUGAAACAUUUUCAUACUAAGGCCUGAGUGAAACUAUGUUGUGUGAAACAUUUUCAUACUAAGGCUUGAGUGAAACUAUGUUGUAAAAUAAUUCCUUGCUGAAAGGAAUAUAUAAAAAGUCUAGAAAUGCUUAGGCCUGUAGUUGUCAGCAGUAAAUAACAACACAUAAUUGAAUAUAUGAGUGUGGACCUGACUGGUGUUUUUAAAGUCAAUGCAUUUUUUUAACAAAGAAAAAAAAACUUGAUACAAUAGAACUGUGUUUGUGUUCAUUUUUUCCUUCUGAAAUUGUCCUUAUGAUCUUAAUUUAUAGAAAUAACUAUUCGAAUAUAUUGAUUGAAUAAAUGCAAAGUUGAUCACAAAGCAGA